rnacentral:rRNA from 1 species
UAGGGAAUCUUCGGCAAUGGGGGGAACCCUGACCGAGCAACGCCGCGUGAGUGAAGAAGGUUUUCGGAUCGUAAAGCUCUGUUGUUAAGGAAGAACGAGUGUGAGAAUGGAAAGUUCAUACUGUGACGGUACUUAACCAGAAAGGGACGGCUAACUACGUGCCAGCAGCCGCGGUAAUACGUAGGUCCCGAGCGUUGUCCGGAUUUAUUGGGCGUAAAGCGAGCGCAGGCGGUUAGAUAAGUCUGAAGUUAAAGGCAGUGGCUCAACCAUUGUAGGCUUUGGAAACUGUAUAACUUGAGUGCAGAAGGGGAGAGUGGAAUUCCAUGUGUAGCGGUGAAAUGCGUAGAUAUAUGGAGGAACACCGGUGGCGAAAGCGGCUCUCUGGUCUGUAACUGACGCUGAGGCUCGAAAGCGUGGGGAGCGAACAGG